rnacentral:lncRNA from 1 species
AAUAUUGCUGCAUAGGUUUGAUAAUAAAAUCAUGGUAAAAAUUUAUCAUCUUAUAUCCCUCGAAGACACACUUUCUUGUCCAGGGAUUUCAGUCUUCAUUUCCUAGGUGAUACACUUCUUAAAUUGAACCUUCACUCCUAUAAGACGUACCUUUUAGUCGAGUCAUCCCUCAUGAUUCCUAUAAGACGUAACUUUUAGUCGAGUUAUCCCCCUUGAUUCCUAUAAGACGUACCUUUUAGUCGAGUCAUCUCUCUUGACUCCUAGGAGACGUACCUUUUAGUCGAGUCAUCUCCUUUGAUUCCUAUAAGAUGUACCUUUUAGUCGAGUCAUCUCCCUUGAUUCCUAUAAGAUGUACCUUUUAGUCGAGUCAUAUCCCUUGAUUCCUAUAAGACAUACCUUUUAGUCGAGUCAUCUCCCUUGAUUCUUAUAAGACGUACCUUUUAGUCGAGUCAUGUCCCUUGACCCCUAGAAGACAUACCUUUUAGUCAAGUCAUCUCCCUUGAUUCCUAUAAGACGUACCUUUUAGUCGAGUCAUUCUCUGUGAUUCCUAAAAGACGUAUCUUUUAGUUGAGUCAUCCCCCUUGAUUCCUAUAAGGCGUACCUUUUAGUCGAGUCAUCUCCCGUUGAUUCCUAUAAGACGUAUCUUUUAGUCGAGUCAUUUCCCUUGACCCCUAGAAUACGUACCUUUUAGUUGAGUCAUUUCCCUGGAUUCCUAUAAGACGUACAUUUUAGUCAAGUCAUUUCCAUUGACCCCUAGAAGAUGUACCUUUUAGUCGAAUCAUUUUUCUGGAUUCCUAUAAGACGUACCUUUUAGUCGAGUCAUCCCCCUUGACCCCUAGAAUACGUACCUUUUAGUCGAGUCAUUUCAUUUGAUUCCUAUAAGACGUACCUUUUAGUCGAGUCAUUCUCCUUGAUUCCUAUAAUGAUGUGACUUUCGCAAAAGUCCUUUGAUGGUAAACUGGGGCAAAAUUUAAUUCUUGUGUUGGAAUUUCACUUUUCUGUCAAAUUAAAUCUCUUUAUAAUAAUCUUUGUUUGGGAUAAUUUUCUUUUCAGUUUUGAUGUGAUUUCAGGAGCCCUCCUGGAGAACAGAGUGAAGAAAUGAAAAGUCAAGAAACAAAGUGAAGAAGUUGAAAGUCAAGCAACAAGGUGAAAAGUCGAAAGUUAACAGAUUGAUGAAAUAGCAAGUCAGGAGCCCGCCUGAAGAACAGGGUGAUGAAAUUGCAAGUCAGGAGCCCGCCUGAAGAACAGGGCGAUGAAAUUGCAAGAUAGGAGCCCGCCUGAAUAACAGGGUGAUGAAAUGGCAAGUCAGAAGCCCACUCGAAGCACAGGGCGAAUAAAUGGAAAGUUAAGCAAUAAGGUGAAACAAUUGAAGACCAAGCAACAAGUGAUGAAAUUGCAAGUCAGGAGCCCGCCUGAAGAAUAGGGUGAUGAAACUUAAGUCAGAAGUCCAAUAGAAGCUGUAUAGAUAGGAUUUUAUAAUUUCAUUUAUGUUUUUACUUGUAAUUUUCAUUUUGAUGUGAUGACAGAACCGCGGAACGGAACCUCGAUGGAACCUCACUCGACUCUCCAACUCGGUAUAGUCCAUUUCCUUCCAAUCCUUUGAGACACCGUCACUUCAUUCCUCCAUAACUUGGGUGGGUAGAAUGGCUUAAUUCAGAAUUUGGUUGUUCUUCUUCUUUCUGUUUCUUUCUUUGAAUAAUGGUCGGGACAAAAUUCUGCCUUAUUGUCUACUUCUUUGUCUGAAAACCCUUCAUGUUUACAUUCAAAGGGGGCAUGAUGUAGACACCUAAUUUCGUCCCUCCCCGAUAUCGUUUUUACCCAGUUUUACUUUAUCAUACACCCAUGUAAUUAUAUCCCGCAAAAAUACAAAAAAUAACAACUUGAAACAAAUUCCCUAACAAACUACCUAACAAAUUUUAUCCUAUCCUAACCCCCUUUACACCUCAUCCUAACAACCUACCCAAUCAAAAUAAACCACCUCACUACCCCUUACCCAACCUCACCCCCUAAGCAGCCCCCCCCCUCCCCCCCCAAUUUUUUUUGUUGUUUGUUCCUUUUAACCAAAACAGAACAAAAGGAAUAAAAAGGGGCCCACAGGGAAUGGGUGGACACAAAAUACAUAGGCACACAAGAUCCUCUCCAUUCAGAGCAAUACCCAUAGACACGAAAUUUCCAUUCCACUCAUAUGCACACUCUCUCUUAUACGUAUAGGGACACUCAUAGUAACAAUACGAGGGGACCAUCCAUCAAUACCAGAGAAGACCCCAAAACACAUACACACAAAAAUCAUCUUCUCCACCAGGAGGAAUCACUGAUCCUCACCGAAUACACUCACUGAAAUUCCCCAUUUAGGUAUAAUUAAGAAUACACACUCACGUACACAGUAACACGAGAGAGAUGAGAGAGAGCAACUGAACGAGAGAGAGAAAAGAAGAAAGAGGAUUGAGCGAGAGAGUAUGAUAAAGUUGGGAGGAAAACGAUAAAAAUCUGAGUGUAAGUGAGAGAGAGAGAAACGAAGGUGGGGGUGUUGGUUCUGGUGAAAUCUCACCAGGAAUCGCCAUUUUUGACUAAGAUCUGAACCAUACUCCGUCUGUCCGUAACUGUUGGAGCUCGUCGAAACUCCGGCGAUACAAAUAUCAUCUCCACCUUCAUCAAAAUCAUAAAACCCGAUCACCCCAUCACUGUUGAGGCUUGUCGAGCUCCGUUGAAGUCGCAACAGUCCAGCCCAAUGACCACGCCUUUUGCCGACUAAACCCGUAACCCCGUUGAUGUGAAUAGUAUUAUGAACAAAGUCGCAAACAUUGGUUUUUGGUCCAGAUUCGAUUCAGAUUUUUGGGGGUUUUGAUUUGAGAUUGUUAUUUUGGAUUGUGCGGUUUUGGGUUCAAUCGAGUUGGUGAGUUUGCGUUGAUUCGGAUUUAGGUUCGAUUCGAGGUUUUGGACGGGGAUUCUCUCAGUUUUAAUUAGAAUAAUACAUUGAUUUUGAAAGCGU